GAGCAGCGCUCUGGAGGAGGGUGGUAUAUAGACUGCCUGGGCCAGCAGAACAUGGGAGAUGCUGGCAUGAGAAGGAAGUCAGAGGUAGUGAUUUUGCAAGAAGAAUCAAUCACCGAGUGACAUUCUUCGCAGUGCGUGAGCCGGAGGUCAGAUUGGAUUGUCAGAAGGGUCCCUUCUGGCCUUAGAAUUGAGGAACACUUUUACAAGAGGGAGCCUGAGAAGACAUAGGAACUUGUCACGCUUAUUUCUUGUCAAAUCUGCCUGAGCUGCUCCUUCUACCUGGGCAUCUGUCUGGCUGUCGCAUUCUCACACAGCUGUAAUGAAACUCCCCUCUCCAAAGGGCAGUGUCUCUCUGGAAUGCCAGAGAAGCCAAGGAGAGAGCAUUUGAAAGGGAUCAGAUUUCUAGCUGGAAGCAGGCAGGUCAAUGAUCUGCUGUGCUAAACAGGACAUUCAGCUCAGAUCUGCAACCCAAGAAGCCACUUCCAGAGGAGCUGUGGCCAACGGCAGAAGUUGCAUUCCCUGAGCCUUGCUAAUGCACUCUGCUGAUGUGUGGUAAGCGGAACGUAAGUCUGAGGGGCUGGAAGAAGGUUUAUGUUAAAGCAGGCGACUCCCAGGAUGUAUAGCUCCUUCCCCACCUCUGUUUUUUGAUUCACUCCUGCUUCUCUGGCCCUGCAGUGGCUGGGUUCCAGCAGUGUAGGCUCCUGUCAGCUCUGUGAGCUAAAUGCAGAAGCUUUGAGGGACAGGAGCCAGUUACAUAUUAGCAAAGGGUCAGAGCCUAAAUCAGUGUCGCCCCACAUCAAGGGGGCUGUCACAGGCUGUAACUGACACCACUGGAGCCUUCCGCUGGACCUACAGACUCAGAUUCACCUCAGAGUUUGGCCCCUUGUCUUUUGCUUCCUGGGCCAGUUGGAGCUGGUGGUCCUGCAGGCCCCUGGCUCAGAGCCAUUGGAGCUCUCUGCUGUCAAGCCCCUGAAGGGAAUUCCAGGUGAAAACCUGAUUGGUUUUUCCCUGGUUCCAGCUGGCUGCGUGGGUUGUGUGACAGAGCAAUAGGCCUGAUGGAUCCGGAGUUGACUGUGGGGAACACAGGUGUGACACCUGGGUGAGCAGGGGCUGGGAGUGCUGUGGAGGCAACACAUGCUCUGGGGGAGGAGGUGUCUCUCAUUUUCCUCAAGUGAAAAUGACGCUGAGUUCAAUGACCCUCAGACUUUGGUGGGUGGUGAUGGAGUGUACCGAUACCACAGAGUAGCAGUCAUGAAGGGGUUAAUAGAUGGAGCAAUUACUCUCCAGGGGUGACUAAGUGGCUGGCUGAAUACAGCUGGGAUAAAAGGCUACAGCUUAGACAGAAGAGUGGCUGCCACUGGCAGAGAGCUUGGGACUGGAGUUACCUUGAAUAAACUCUGCAGCAACAGACUGGGAGAGAUGUGUCCAAGGACUCAGGGAGAGGGAGCCAGAGAGGACAGCUUGGUGGCAGGUCCCUGAAGCAGGCAAGAGUCUGAAGGACCCCAUCUGUUUACCUUCUGCCACUGCAUCUUGGAUCCCACCAUCAGAAGAGAAUCCGGCCAUUCCUACUGCAAGGAAACGCCUCUGAUCUGAGUGGGGAGACUGAAAUUCCCUGCAGAUCACUGUUGUCUAAUGUAAUGGCAUAGGGAGGACU